GUCAGGAACUUGUUAAGCAAGUUAUAUACUCUGAGACAGACAGUUAUCCACUUCUACUUAUAAAUUGCUGAGCAGUGCCCAUAUUUUGUUCUUUUGGUGGGUUCUCUUUUCUUUUGUAUUGUAUAUUUGGGUAGGAUAUAGCAAUUCCUGGAUUUGAUCUCGGAGAUUUAUUUUCUGCAAACUGUUCAAGGGGUUAAAUUCCUUAUCAUGUGUUCUUCAUGUGUGUGAUUAAGUAUUCUCUGCUAAUGCAUUCUAAAUUUUCAUUUUCUUUUACAGAGCAAAGCAAAAGCAGAAAAAAAUCAAGCAAUGGAGCGUACAAUGAGUGAGAAUUCUUGCCAGUUGUGUGCAGUUGAGAGGCUUACCUUUGAACCACCACCAAUAUAUUGUACACCUUGUGGUGCCCGUGUUAAAAGAAAUGCAAUGUACUAUACCAUUGGAGCUGGUGAUACUCGUCAAUACUUCUGCAUACGCUGCUAUAACGAGGCCCGUGGAGAUACCAUUGUAGUUGAUGCAACUUCUAUUCCAAAGGCAAGGAUGGAGAAGAAGAAAAAUGACGAGGAAACUGAAGAAUGGGUAUGUAUAUCCACCUACUAAAUU
rnacentral:lncRNA from 1 species